CAGAGAGGCGCGCGUGCGCUCUCGCUGCGCUCCAGAGGGUAAGGGGGCGGGGCCCGCGGGCCGAAGCGCGGUAGCGCUUCUCCUUGCUGCCUCUAUGUGAAGAAGGACAUGUUGGCUUCCUUGUCUACCAUGAUGAUCAGUUUCCUGAGGCCUCCCCAGCCAUGCUGAACUGCAAUUUGAAAGUAAGCAGAUUGUGUCUAAAGACAUAAGAAUUGUUUUCAAGCAUCCAAAUGAAACAGUGGGAGGUGGAGAGAAUAUUGAUUUGUAUAGAGUUGACUAACAUUGGUGGAUUGUUCAUUCAAUAAAGACAGAUUUUUUUU